AAUUGGUAUCAGAGCCGUGGUUCCAGAAUUUCGGCUCUGUCGGAUAAAUGAAUAGUAAAACCAUUAAGUUUUUUUUUGUUUUUCCUGCUAUUGUUCUUCGUGGCUUGUUGAUUCGUGGGAUACGUCGAUUUGACGUUGUAAUUGUUUUUUCACCACGAGAAAAUCCGUGGUUAGACUAGUUUUUCGAAUUCUGUUUUUUUUGUUUUCGAAUGUAACUUGUAACUGCGAAGAACGAGGCUGAGAACAGAGAAAUAAAGAACGACUGUUGAUCCAAACUUUCCGGGCGACCAGCGGGAGCCCGGCACCGGAAUCAGGUUGUCGCUGCCGCGCCUCUGGCGGGGAUCGCCAUUUCUGACGCACACUAGACCGUCUGGAAUCGCAUCUCAGCCGCUGCCAGAUCUGCUCAACGGCGUCUGCGGUUGGGGGCGCUCCGGCGUUCCUUACUGGCUCGACUGCCAGAGCGUGCAGACGGAGGGUGCGGCGACAGAGGGAAGUCGCGGCGCUGCAACGCUGGUGUCGGGUGGAGGCUCACCGGAGCAGCAGCGAUGGCUGACGACGUCGCCGGCAGGAGAGCAGUUGGUCCAGACGCGAUUGUAAGGGGAGAGCAGCUGCGAUUUAAUCGCGCUCCAUCUCCACCCCGAUCUCGCUGGCGGCGGCUUCCCAGGGCGUAGGCGGCGUGCGGCGGCGUCAUUGCUUGUGGGUGAUCAGAGAAGCUGUGCAGCGUCACUCUUGGCGGCGCGAAACCCUAGGUUCUAGGGCUGGAGACAUGUGGGCCUGACAUAAGCUUGGGCCGCUGAUUGGCUGAAAUGGGCGGAUGGGUUUUG
rnacentral:lncRNA from 1 species